rnacentral:rRNA from 1 species
GAUGAACGCUGACAGAAUGCUUAACACAUGCAGGUCAACUUGAAUUUGGGUUUUUAACUUCGGUUUGGGUGGCGGACGGGUGAGUAACGCGUAAAGAACUUGCCUCACAGCUAGGGACAACAUUUGGAAACGAAUGCUAAUACCUAAUAUUAUGAUAAUAGGGCAUCCUAUAAUUAUGAAAGCUAUAAGCGCUGUGAGAGAGCUUUGCGUCCCAUUAGCUAGUUGGAGAGGUAACGGCUCACCAAGGCGAUGAUGGGUAGCCGGCCUGAGAGGGUGAUCGGCCACAAGGGGACUGAGACACGGCCCUUACUCCUACGGGAGGCAGCAGUGGGGAAUAUUGGACAAUGGACCGAGAGUCUGAUCCAGCAAUUCUGUGUGCACGAUGAAGUUUUUCGGAAUGUAAAGUGCUUUCAGUUGGGAAGAAACAAAUGACGGUACCAACAGAAGAAGUGACGGCUAAAUACGUG